AGGCUGAAGGCCCAUGGGUAGAGACUUCUUGGAGGGAGAACAGCAAUAUAUCGUGAGGAAGAAGGGCCCAUGUUCAUCACGGUCUUCCCUGUCCCGACAUACAAGGGAUUGGAUCCAUGUGCACCUGCUUUUCUUGUCCUGAUUCCUAUCCUGUGGUGGUGGGGGAUGGAGGAAAGGGGUUCAGGCAGGGAUAGUGAGCUGCUUCGGUAGGGGUGUGCGUGUGCGUGUGCGUGUGCGUGUGCGUGUGUAGUUUAGUGUAUUUUCUGGGUGUCAGUCCCAUGCCCCUUGCAGUGGGAAGGAGAUCUACAGAGGCCUUGCUUCACAACACGCAUACCACCAUGCUUUCAUGCCUGAAUUGAUGUCCACGGUCCCCCAGGAGUUGCUUGGUUGCUGUACUCCAAGGGAGAAGCUCACCCAGGGUCUUCCUCCCCCUGCUCCUCUCUGCUCAGCUGGGGGAGGAGCACCUCUAGGUGGAAGGAGCAAACACCACCCUUUCUUGGGUGAGCGCGUAUUUCUACCUCUGUGCUUCCGUUUCCAGCGCAUCGCACACUGAUGCUGCUUGCAAAAAAAAAAAAAAAAUUAAGUUAAACACUCAGAAGUUGCGUUCAACAGGGCCACUGGAUCCCCUUGGGGUUUGGUGCCAGAUAUUACAGGGUCUGUGGAGUAUCAGCCAUUGGCUUGCUCUCCCUUGGUUCCUCCCUCUGCACCAGAAUAAUAAGCCUUCCUGGGUUGGUGCUGGCCGGGUUGGAUUGGGUCCAGAGCAACUGCUUUUGUGGGUUCAAAUGUAUGAGGUCAGGCCUCUUAGGAACCCAGGGGAGCAGCACCUGCUCCUUUAGAAAGCUUGGCACAGAGCAGAGAGGGAGUGACCUUUCACCCCCCCCUCUGCUUCAGGUCUCAUCGGGGAGAAAGCACACUGCAGAACCCUCCUGCUUAGCCUUCCCCAACAGGGUCCUUCCUGAGAGGCUGUCCUUAGGAUUGUCCUUCAAGGGAAGUCAGGGUUGGCUCCUGCAGGCUUCACGAGGGAUGUCAUUCUUGGAGUCUUUAAGGCAGGAUAUGUAUCCUGAGGGCAGUCUAGGUUCAGCAGGCACAGGGAGCCAGGCCAGGAUAUACUCACCCCCACAAUGGGACUAGGUGGGGGAGGAAAAAAACUUAAGAAUUUUGGUUCCCCUUCUGUUUUGGGAGUUUUAUGUGCCGUAACGAACCUAGACAAGGGACCAGG
rnacentral:lncRNA from 1 species